GUAGUCCAAGCACUGAAUUGUAGAACUGGAAGUAUAUUGUAAUAUAAAUUAUAAGUUUAUUAUAAAAACCAAGUCAAUUGCUUACGGUAUUGAAAUCGUAGAUUUUUACGUACGUUCCUUUUAAUGUGUGUAGUAUCCAAAGCAUUGAGUUUGUAAAUUUGAUCUGUCUAUCAUGGAGUUUCAAGCAGUUGUCAUGGCAGCAGGGCGUGGGUCCCGUAUGACAGAACUAACAACAGGAUGUCCAAAGUGCCUUCUACCUGUUGGAAAUGUGCCUAUGAUUUGGUAUCCCCUAAACCUUCUAAAAAGAAAUGGUUUUCAAGAAGCCAUUGUAAUUGUACCUGAAAUGGCCAAGAACGAAGUUUCAGAAGCUCGAAUUGAUACAAAAGUGGAUAUGAAACUGGAUAUUGUAACUAUCCCAUCAUCAGAAGACUGGGGAACAGCUGAGAGUAUACGUUACAUUAAGGAUAAAAUAAAGGUUGACGUUCUGAUUAUCAGCUGUGAUCUUAUCACUGACUUUGAAUUGCAUCAAUUGGCAGAUGUAUAUCGUACCCACAGUGCUUCACUGGCCAUGUUAUUAGCUCCAGUUUCUUUAAGUUUGGUUAAUGCCCCUGCUCCUGGACAGAAAGGGAAGCAUAAAAGAGUGCGAGAUAUUGUAGGCAUUGAAUCCCACACUGGCCGUUUAAUGUUUGUGAAUUCUGAGGCAGAUUUUGAAGAAAACGUUCCUCUAAGAAAAUUCAUUUUAACAAGACACCCAGUUGUUCAGGUUCAUAGUGAUUUGAUGGAUGCCCAUCUGUAUCUGAUGAGUAAGUGGCUUGUAGACUACCUAGUUGAAAAUGAAAAUAUUACCACCAUUAAGGGUGAACUUCUACCCUCUGUUGUCAAGAAGCAGUUCUAUCACAGUAAGACAGAAGGAAAGAACGAUAUUACAAACAUGAAAGCUUCAGUGACUUCUGUGGAUCCAAAGAAAGACAUUCACUCACAUAAGAAAACAGGUGAAUGGUACGAUUUGUUAAGCGAGCUGUCAACAAGAAGUAAUCAGUGGGGGAGUUUGGAUGACUGUUACCAUGGGGAUCAAGUUCGUUGUUAUGGGUACAUCAUGAAAGAUGGGUUGUGUGUUCGGGCUAACACUUUGGGAUCGUAUGCUGAAGUUAAUAGACUGAUUCCUAAGAUAUGGGACAGUGUAACGGGUAACAGUGAGCGACCAAUAUCUGCUUCCCUUUCUCGCUCUAAGAGUCAGGGUGGAGAUGACAGUAUGAUAGGAGAAGGUACAAACAUUGCUGACAAAGUGACCAUCAAGAAAUCCAUCAUAGGAAACCACUGCCAGCUAAAGGAGAAGGUCAAAUUGUUAAACUGUGUGAUAAUGGACCAUGUGACUGUAGAAGAAGGGUCCACCCUCCAGUCCUGUAUUCUCUGUAGUAAUGCUUUUGUUGGGAAAGGCAGUGAACUUAAAGACUGUAUAGUAGGACAACAACAAAGAGUUAUGGACUUGUCUAAGUUGAGCAACGAUGUCAUCCUGGAGAUUGAAAAGUUCAUUGAAAUUUGAAAAUAGAAGUGGCUACUGUUCCUCUGUAGUUUGAGUUUCUCACGCAAAGGAUAUACCAUCAACAUAUCUACAUUCACACAACAUAUGUACCAUCAGUACCCAGAUUCACACCACUGAUAUACUAUCAAACUCCCCACAUUCACACAACACUUGUACCAUCAGUAUCCAGGUUCACACCACUGGAAUACCAUCAAAGUCCCAUUAAUGUGUGACAGUGAUGUUGCUUAGCAUUUUGAACAGGGUUAAUGGAUGUAUGAGCUAAUUACAGUGGGGAACCAUAUAAAAGAUGAAACACCCAAGGCAUAUUCCUAGGACGGCCACAAGGAGCAGGACUAACCCAACAGUAAUUCCAGCCACCACUCUCUUACUGGUACAUACAACACCUUUAUCUUGAACUGAAAGAUACACCAUAAAGAAGUCAUAGUAUUAAAAUGACAUAACAAUAUACCUUAAGUGAUUAAACAUUUUAAAUUCUUUAGCACCAGGAGUUACCUAUAAAACUUUUAAGACAAGUUUUUAUGUUAUAGGAUGAUAUUCACUACUUAGCUAUAAUUGACCUUGAACAAGUUCUUUUUUUCAUUUAAGAUCAGUCAAGGAAACAUCUGUAUCAUUGACUUUAAAGUUAGUUCUUUCUCUAUUUGUCACAAGAUGUUAUGUUUAGAACAAGUUGAGAAAAUUGGAUUUUUGCCUUUCAAUAUACUGGAAAUACAGCUCAAAAUUUAACACUUAAAACAAUGUUAACAAUAGAAAAGCUGAUAUGUGAAUGUAUGGAAAAAA
rnacentral:misc_RNA from 1 species